rnacentral:lncRNA from 1 species
UCUCCUUUUACUUUGUUUUAGAAGUGUGAAAGAAUCCUUUUAAAUGAGGGUAUAUUGAACACUACUGCCACUAGUGCCACAUUGCACUUCCAGGAUGGCAUGAGGAGGAGGACUGAGAGCUGAUUGGAAGAGCAGUGGCAUGCUCAAGCCAAGUUCCUGAUGUGGACAACUGGAGAUGAGCAGAUCCCAGCACACGUCAGGGAGUCAGUAAGCUGCUCCACUACUGUGGAUGUAGACUGGGGACCCCUCUCCCUCCCCCACAAGAGAGGGAGAGAAAAUUAGAUAGAUUGCUUGGAUCCAUCAGACAGACUCCAACGGAGAAGGAGAUGGACCAACACUACCUACAACAGUGCUACCACCACCCAGAGAGAUUAUUGCUACCUGAGGGCAAAGUAAUUGCUUCCUGACAGAAUCUGAGACACAGGAGUGAGGACUUGGGAUGGACGGAAGUUGUUUCUCCUUUGUUCAAAGUGAAAGCAUAACCAAUAACUUCUCAAUGAGUUUGAUCAAGUGGAAAAGUUUAUUUACUCCUGAGAGAUGUCUAGGUCUGUUGGAGAGCCUCUGUUUGCCUGGCACUAAGGAAGCUUGACUUUAAUCCUGCUUCUAGCAGUGUCCCACUCUAUGAAUGUGGAAAGUCAGCUCAGCUUUAAAAUGGAGCCUGGACUGGAUAUUCUCAACAGCUGUGCAGUUCUGGACAACUGAGAAGCAACUCACUGCCAACUGCUUGACUUUUCACCAGCACCAGGAAUAUCUUAAAAGUUUCACUGUGCUACAGAUAAGAAGGCAUAACAGUGCAGUGUUCUGGUGGUGUGACUGCAGACUGGCAAAC